GCAGGUACAGAGGGAUGCUACCGGGCGACCGGAUGCGGAUCUCGAAAGCCUGUCCCAGUUCGGACUGGAGUCUGCAGCCCGACUCCACGAAGUUGGAUUCGCUAGUAAUCGCGCAUCAGCCAUGGCGCGGUGAAUACGUUCCCGGGCCUUGUACACACCGCCCGUCAAGCCAUGGGAGCCGGGGGCGCCUGAAGUCCGGGACCGCGAGGACCGGCCUAGGGCGAAACUGGUAACUGGGGCUAAGUCGUAACAAGGUAUC
rnacentral:rRNA from 1 species